rnacentral:lncRNA from 1 species
UUUUUUUUCUUUUUACAGCCACACUUGUGGCAUAUGGAGGUUCCCGGGCCAGGGGUUAAUCAGAGUUGCACCCAAGGCUUAUGCAACAGCCACAGUAACACCAGAUCUGAGCCAUAUCUGUGACCUACACCACAGCUUGCAGCAACACCUGAUCUUUAACCCACCGAGCAAGGCCAGGAAUCAAACCCACAUCCUGAUGGACACUAUGUCGGUUCUUAACCUGCUAAGCCACAACAGGAACUCCCAGAUUCUUGACCCAUAGAAACCACAAUACAAUAAAUGUUUUAGCCACUAAGUUUUGGGAAAUUUGUUAUGCAGCCAUAGACAACAAAUUGAGUCAAUUGAUUUCUCAACCUGCUGAUGAGUAAUGACCUGUAAACUGAAAAACAUUGAUCUAGUUCUAGAUGCAAGUCCUGUGCUGGGCCUCAAAACAGAUUCGAGGAUGAAUAAGACCUGGUCAUUGCCUUCAAAGGGCUUUUAGUGUUUUGGGGGGAAUCUCAAAACUUAGUAGGAUGUGUGUAUUUCUAGGGCAGAGUUCAAAGACAGCAGAAGAAAAUGAGAGCUUUGUCCAGGCUGAGACGGACCGCUGUGAGAAGCACAGAGAUUGGUUGGGGAGUCCUUACAGGGAGCAUCCAAAGGGAUUUCCACACCCAGAAAGGCUUGGAAGAGAGAGGAGGAUCCUUCUCGCUCAUGCUUUCAAUCAGGGCUUCUGACCUACAAGACUGCAGCCUUGACCUUCAGCCCUGGUCUCUCUCUGGAUCUCCUGACCCCUACUUCCAAGACUUGGUUGGACAGCUGCAAAUGGACGUCUCCUUAACAUCCUUCCCAACAUAUCCUAAAUCCUCCUCUUCUUUAUUCCCCGAGACCAGCAAGUCCUCCUGGUACCUUAAUCCUGUCUAGUCCCCAACACUUGUCACCAUUCACAUUCAUUUUUUUCAGCUCCAUCCCCACAUCAAUUUCCAAGUGCUGCAGAGUCUAUCUCUGAAGUAGCUCUCUCUCUCUCUUUUAUUUAUUUAUUUUUUUUAAGGGCCACUCCUGAGGCAUAUGGAAAUUCCCAGGCUAGGGGUCUAAUUGGAGCUACAGCUGCCAGCCUACGUACACCACAGCCACAACAAUGAAGGAUCUGAGCUGCAUCUGUGACCUAUACCACAGCUCACAGCAAUGCCAGAUCCUUAACCCACUGAGCAAGGCCAGGGAUUGAACCUGCAACCUCAUGGUUCCUAGUUGGAUUCGUUUCCUCUGUACCACGUCAGAAACUCCUCCGAAGUAUCUCUUGAAUCUGUCCCUUUUCUGCAUCCUCUAUAACUACCUUAAAGCUGGCCCUUGUCUUCGUCACAAAGACCCCCAAAAGCGUUGUUGCACAGGUCCUUCCAUAGUGUAGUGGUUAUAUGUGCAGGAUACGGAGUUAGGCUACCUGAUUGAGUUCUAAUUCUACCACUUAGCAGCUAUGUGAACUUUGACAAGCUCUUUAAUUUUUUCCAUGCCUUGGUUUCCUCAUCUUUAAAAUAGGGUGACUAAUACGUGUGUGUGUGUGUAUGUGUGUGUGUAAAGAAUGAAUAGAGUGCUUGGCAGUAAAAGUGACAUUUUAGGGUAUAAACCACCACUGUGAUUAUUUUGAAUCAUCCCAUGCUCUGUUCCUUCCUCCCAGAGUGUUCCCCAAACACAUCAACGCCAGAUCUGAGCUGUGUCCGUGACCUACACCACAGCUCAUGACAACACUGGAUUUUUAACCCACUGAGUGGGGCCAGGAAUCGAACCUGCGUCCCAUGGAUGCUAGUCAGAUUCAUUUCUGUUGAGCCAGGACACGAACUCCUUACUGUUUAUUUUUAAGGUUACUUUCUAUCUAUGGCAAAUUAUACUAGUUUUCAUGAUCAGUAAUGAUACAAAGUUUCCUUUUAAAAUAAAUAUUUAAAAAACCUAAAGUAUAGUUGAUUUACAAUGUUGUGUUAGUUUCAGGUGCACAGCAAAGAGAUUCUGUUACAUACAUAUGAAUAUGUUAUUUUUAAUUAAUUUAUUUAUUUAUUUUUUGUCUUUUUGCCAUUUCUUGGGCCGCUCCUGCAGCAUAUGGAGGUUCCCAGGCCAGGGGUCGAAUCGGAGCUGUAGCCAUUGGCCUAUGCCAGAGCCACAGCAACGCGGGAUCCGAGCCGCAUCUGCAGCCUACACCACAGCUCACGGCAACGCCGGAAGGUUAACCCACUGAGCAAGGGCAGGGACCGAACCCGCAGCCUAAUGGUUCCUAGUCGGAUUCGUUAACCACUGCGCCACGAAGGGAACUCCUAUUUUUUAGAUUAUUUUCAAUUACAGGAUAUCCAAUAUAGGAUACUGAAUAUAGUUCCCUGUCCUAUACAGUAGGUCCUUGUCAUUUAUCUAUUUUAUAUAUAGUAGUGUGUAUCUGUUAAUCCCAAACUCCUAAUUUAUCCAUCACUAUCCACCUUUGGUAACCAUAAGUUUUUUUUUUAUGCCUAUGGGUCUGUUUCUAUUUUGUAAAUAAGUUCAUUUGUAUCAUUUUUUUGGAUUCCACAUAUAAGUGAUAUCAUAUGAUAACAAUAUCUGACUUACUUCACUCAAUAUGAGAACCUCUAGGUCCAUCCAUGUUUCUGCAAGUGUCAUAUUUCAUUCUUUCUUUCUGGCUGAGUAAUAUUCCAUUGUAUAUAUGUACCACAUCUCCUUCAUCCAUUCAUAUGUCAAUGGACACAUAUGUUGCUUCCAUGUCUUGGCUACAAAAUAAUCAUUUUAAGUUAAAAACUGAGUCAAAUUAAAGAAAAAGGUAAGUAAACUCUCUCUCCCAGAAAAAAAAAAGUCACGGAGUGUGUGAUUUUUACACUGUAAAUUUUCUCAUCAUGCCUAUUUCCAAAAACCUACAUGAUGCCACUGAAGGCAGAGUUAGGAAAAGAUGUGCAGGAUACAAUCCGUGUGUCCAUACAAAUGACUCAAGCUCACCACUCAGUGGGGCUCAGAUAUAGCAAAUAUCUGGAAGGUGGUCCAACAAUGGCUGAAGUCUGAGAAAAGCUUUAUUAUGGUCACUUUUUAUAUAACUCUUAUUCUCCACAGCAAAAUGCAUGUGUCUUGAGAGUAAUGAAUGCUUCUUGAUCAUCUCUGCAAACCGUGCAGUACCUGGAGGGGAGCUCACAGUGGGUACCUCUCACCAGGCUGAACUUUCUGGAAGAGGGACUGAGGUGAAUCACUUUUCUGUUCAGGAUGACAGUGACAUGGAGUGACCUGGAGCCCCUGGCUAUUGGUAACCUAGUUCUAGGCAGAGGUGUGGCCCCAGGGAGGACUGAGGGAGGAAAAGGAUGAUGCAUGGGGUCUGGCUCACCCAUGCCACUGAGACUCUACUCAAAUGUACUCUUCCCUCAAAGGGUGUAUGAUAAGGAGCACGAUGAGGAGAACAGAAUGGAAAAGGCGAGACUGAAGGCCUUGGAUUAGUUUUGUAAUAGAGCGCCACAUACAGGGUGGCUUGGCCACAGAAGUUCACUGCCUCACUGUUCUGGAGACUAGAAGUCUGAAACCACAUGUCAGCAGGGUUGACAAAUCAAGGGGACAGCUGUGAGGAAAGGAUCUGUUCAAGGUCUCCAUCCUUGGCAUGUGGAGGGCCCCUUCUCCCUGUGUCCCUUCACAGUCUUCCCUUUAUAUGCGUCUGUAUGUGUCCAGAUUUUCUCUUUCUACAAGAAUAUCAGUCAUAGUGGGUGAGGAUCUACCCUUUGGCCUCAUGUUAAUUUGAUUACCUCUGCAAAGACCCUAUCUCAAAAUAAGUACAAUCUGAGGCACUAGGGAGUUAAGAUUCCAAUACAUCUUUUGGGUAAGACACAAUUCAAACCACACCAGGCCUGGAGAUCGAUUCUAAUAAUUCUCUGAUGGGAAGUGCUCCCAUAAGGGCUCUGUCAUAGG